rnacentral:rRNA from 1 species
GAAAGUAAGCCGGAGCAACGACGCGUGAGUGAAUGAAGGCCUUCGGGUCGUAAAGCUCUUUUGUCAGGGAAGAACAAGUAUCGGAGCAGGGAAUGGUCCCUGGACGGUACGAAUCCAGAAAUACACGCCGAAUUACUUGCCAGCAGCAGCGGUAAUAACUAGUUGGCGAGCAUUGUCGUUAAUUAUCGGGGGUAAAAAAGGGGCAGCCGGUUCCUUAACUAGUAUGGGAAAAAACCCGGCUCAACAACGGAGGGUCAUUGGAAGAAGGGGAAGUGGAGGACUGCAGGGGAGAACGCAAUUACACCAGUAGUAGGGAAAAAAUUAGAAAAGAUGAGGAACACCAGUGAUGAAGAAGGCUGUCAUGUGUGCAAGUAACGAUGAGGCGAGAAAAAGUGGGGAGGAACCAACAUUUUAUACCACCGUAGUACUCC